AACAAAAAUCCAAUGAGAAAUAGAAACUGAGUAAUUGAUAUAU
rnacentral:guide_RNA from 1 species